GUGAGUGUAGCUCAGUCAGGUAGAGCGCCGGAUUGUGGUUCCGGUGGUCGUGGGUUCGAUCCCCAUCACUCACCCCA
rnacentral:tRNA from 2 species